CCUACGGGAGGCAUCAGUGGGGAAUAUUGGGCAAUGGGCGAAAGUCUGACCCAGCAACGUAGCGUGAAGGAUGAAUGCCCUCGGGUUGUAAACUUCCUUUUUUAGGGGCGUAGAAAGUUACGGUACUUGAGUAUUAAGCCUCGGCUAACUAUGUGCAAGCAGCCGCGGUAAUACGUAGGUGGCAAGCGUUAUCCGGAUUUAUUGGGUGUAAAGGGCGUGUAGGCGGGAGCGCAAGUCAGAUGUGAAAACUCAGGGCUCAAACCUGAGCCUGCAUUUGAAACUGUGUUUCUUGAGUGCUGGAGAGGCGAUCGGAAUUCCGGGUGUAGCGGUGAAAUGCGUAGAUAUACGGAGGAACACCAGUGGCGAAGGCGGAUUGCUGGACAGUAACUGACGCUGAGGCGCGAAAGCGUGGGGAGCAAACAGGAUGAGAUACCCGUGUAGUC
rnacentral:rRNA from 1 species